rnacentral:misc_RNA from 1 species
AAGGCAUGAAGGAGUCAGGAAGAG